rnacentral:rRNA from 1 species
AAUAUUGCACAAUGGGGGAAACCCUGAUGCAGCGACGCCGCGUGAGUGAAGAAGUAUUUCGGUAUGUAAAGCUCUAUCAGCAGGGAAGAAAAUGACGGUACCUGACUAAGAAGCUCCGGCUAACUACUUGCCAGCUGCCGCGGUCAUACGUAGGGGGCAAGCGUUAUCCGGAUUUACUGGGUGUAAAGGGAGCGUAGGUGGUUCGGCAAGUCAGAUGUGAAAGCCCGGGGCUCAACUCCGGGACUGCAUUUGAAACUGUAGAGCUAGAGUGCAGGAGAGGUAAGUGGAAUUCCUAGUGUAGCGGUGAAAUGCGUAGAUAUUAGGAGGAACACCAGUGGCGAAGGCGGCUUACUGGACUGUAACUGACACUGAGGCACGAAAGCGUGGGGAGCAAACAGG